rnacentral:lncRNA from 1 species
AUUGCUCCUUUUAUUUUCGAAAACCAAUAAUAGGUGGACACCACCCUCCUUGCCUGUUCUUUUCUUCGAAAACAAUAGGGGAUAAAGGUUCGUGGCGAAAAAAGGUUCAAGGAAUUCUUCGUGGGUUGAAGGUUCGUCAGUUGAAGAAGAUUGAAGGUUCGUGGGGAGGAGUGACGAAGACUGGAUGUUCGUGGAGAUGGUUCGUGGCGAAAAGGUUUUAGGGAUUUGCAGGAAGAAGUUGGAUGUGGCGGCUGCGGCUGGUGUUGGCAGCUGCUGCUGUUGUUUUUGAUACGGAUUGGGUGAAGAACAAAGACGACAGAUGAACAAGAUGUUUCACGGACCAAAACUCUGUUCUGAUACCAUGUUGUAAAUAAUAAUCAGAGACAAAGGAUAAUUGAAAAGAACUGAAUUUUAUUGAUUUAAAUCUUGCAUGCAAAACAGGAAAUUAUUGAUUUAAAUCUUGCAUGCAAAACAGGAAAAACGAGCCUUUAUUUAUAGGCUUUACAAGAACGAAUAAAAAGGAAAGACUUAAAUAUGGAGAUGAUGUUGAGGAUCCAUUAUUUUUCUAAAUUAUUUUUUUUCUUUUUCUAACAAAAAAAUGUAAUUAAGCACAGCUUAUUUUAUCUUAUAUGCCAUUAAGAAAAAUUAUAAUAUUCUAAGAGAAUAACUACAGUUUCUAUCAGCAGACUAAUUACCAAAUUUUACUUUAAUGUCGUUCUGCUCGUUCAUCUAUUUGUUCCCCACUCUGACAUGAGAAUUAGAAUACAAUAUUUAAUCAAGCAAAAUAAGAUGAUGAAGACGAUGUAUCCGCCAACACCUGCAAGGAUCGACAAUAAUUUUAGAAAAAUUAUUAAUUUCUUGAAAACGAAUUAAUGAGUUCUAACGCUACCUCAAGUUGUUCUUCAGUGAAUGAAUCUUUCUGAACACUCCAAGUAUCUGCAUGGGUCCGGCGGAACUCCGCAACUGCCUUUGUAACGGUUGAUUUUACAGGUGAUGGCUCACCGACAAAACGUGCCAAUAAGGUGGCAUGCUCAGGCAACCAACUAAAACAUAAUAAAUGAGUUUCAGAAAUUUUACAAAUAACUAUUUUUAUACAUUUAUU